UACGGGGGGGGGCAAGCGUUGUUCGGAAUUACUGGGCGUAAAGGGCUCGUAGGCGGCCAACUAAGUCCGACGUGAAAUCCCCAGGCUUAACCUGGGAACUGCGUCGGAUACUGGAUGGCUUGAAUCCGGGAGAGGGAUGCGGAAUUCCAGGUGUAGCGGUGAAAUGCGUAGAUAUCUGGAGGAACACCGGUGGCGAAGGCGGCAUCCUGGACCGGCAUUGACGCUGAGGAGCGAAAGCCAGGGGAGCAAACGGGG
rnacentral:rRNA from 1 species